GGGUUGUGAGGUUAAGCGACUAAGCGUACACGGUGGAUGCCCUGGCAGUCAGAGGCGAUGAAGGGCGUGCUAAUCUGCGAUAAGCGCCGGUAAGGUGAUAUGAACCGUUAUAACCGGCGAUACCCGAAUGGGGAAACCCAGUGUGACUCGUCACACUAUCAUUAACUGAAUCCAUAGGUUAAUGAGGCGAACCGGGGGAACUGAAACAUCUAAGUACCCCGAGGAAAAGAAAUCAACCGAGAUUCCCCCAGUAGCGGCGAGCGAACGGGGAGGAGCCCAGAGCCUGAAUCAGCAUGUGUGUUAGUGGAAGCGUCUGGAAAGGCGCGCGAUACAGGGUGACAGCCCCGUACACAAAAGCGCAUGUGCUGUGAGCUCGAUGAGUAGGGCGGGACACGUGGUAUCCUGUCUGAAUAUGGGGGGACCAUCCUCCAAGGCUAAAUACUCCUGACUGACCGAUAGUGAACCAGUACCGUGAGGGAAAGGCGAAAAGAACCCCGGCGAGGGGAGUGAAAAAGAACCUGAAACCGUGUACGUACAAGCAGUGGGAGCACAGGUUUACCUGUGUGACUGCGUACCUUUUGUAUAAUGGGUCAGCGACUUAUAUUCUGUAGCAAGGUUAACCGUAUAGGGGAGCCGGAGGGAAACCGAGUCUUAACCGGGCGUUAAGUUGCAGGGUAUAGACCCGAAACCCGGUGAUCUAGCCAUGGGC
rnacentral:rRNA from 1 species